rnacentral:rRNA from 1 species
GCAAGCAGCUUGCUGCUUUGCUGACGAGUGGCGGACGGGUGAGUAAUGUCUGGGAAACUGCCUGAUGGAGGGGGAUAACUACUGGAAACGGUAGCUAAUACCGCAUAACGUCGCAAGACCAAAGAGGGGGACCUUCGGGCCUCUUGCCAUCGGAUGUGCCCAGAUGGGAUUAGCUAGUAGGUGGGGUAACGGCUCACCUAGGCGACGAUCCCUAGCUGGUCUGAGAGGAUGACCAGCCACACUGGAACUGAGACACGGUCCAGACUCCUACGGGAGGCAGCAGUGGGGAAUAUUGCACAAUGGGCGCAAGCCUGAUGCAGCCAUGCCGCGUGUAUGAAGAAGGCCUUCGGGUUGUAAAGUACUUUCAGCGGGGAGGAAGGGAGUAAAGUUAAUACCUUUGCUCAUUGACGUUACCCGCAGAAGAAGCACCGGCUAACUCCGUGCCAGCAGCCGCGGUAAUACGGAGGGUGCAAGCGUUAAUCGGAAUUACUGGGCGUAAAGCGCACGCAGGCGGUUUGUUAAGUCAGAUGUGAAAUCCCCGGGCUCAACCUGGGAACUGCAUCUGAUACUGGCAAGCUUGAGUCUCGUAGAGGGGGGUAGAAUUCCAGGUGUAGCGGUGAAAUGCGUA